GCCAGUAUGGCACAGUGCUUUGAGUGUUGGACUAUGACUUUGGAGACCCGGGUUCAAUUCCCAGCUCAGCCA